GCUUGUCUCAAAGAUUAAGCCAUGCAUGUCUAAGUAUAAACAAAUCUAUACGUGAAACUGCGAAUGGCUCAUUAUAUCAGUUAUAGUUUAUUUGAUGGUUCAUACUACUUGGAUAACCGUAGUAAUUCUAGAGCUAAUACAUGCGUCAAAACCCGACUCCUGGGAGGGGUGUACUUAUUAGAUGGAAACCAAUGCGGGGCAACCCGGAUUCUGGUGAUUCAUAAUAAUUAUCGGAUCGAUCAUUUGAUCGAUGCAUCAUUCAAGUUUCUGCCCUAUCAGCUUUGGAUGGUAGGGUAUUGGCCUACCAUGGCAUUAACGGGUAACGGAGAAUUAGGGUUCGAUUCCGGAGAGGGAGCCUGAGAAAUGGCUACCACAUCCAAGGAAGGCAG
rnacentral:rRNA from 1 species